CGGGUGAGUAAUGCCUAGGAAUCUGCCUGGUAUGGGGGACAACGUUUCGAAAGGAACGCUAAUACCGCAUACGUCCUACGGGAGAAAGCAGGGGACCUUCGGGCCUUGCGCUAUCAGAUGAGCCUAGGUCGGAUUAGCUAGUUGGUGAGGUAAUGGCUCACCAAGGCGACGAUCCGUAACUGGUCUGAGAGGAUGAUCAGUCACACUGGAACUGAGACACGGUCCAGACUCCUACGGGAGGCAGCAGCU
rnacentral:rRNA from 1 species